GUGUCAGCAGCCGCGGUAAUACGGAGGGGGCUAGCGUUGUUCGGAAUCACUGGGCGUAAAGCGCGCGUAGGCGGAUUGUUAAGUUGGAGGUGAAAGCCCAAGGCUCAACCUUGGAAUUGCCUUCAAUACUGGCAAUCUUGAGUCCGGGAGAGGUGAGUGGAAUUCCUAGUGUAGAGGUGAAAUUCGUAGGUAUUAGGAAGAACACCGGUGGCGAAGGCGGCUCACUGGUCCGGUACUGACGCUGAGGCGCGAAAGCGUGGGGAGCAAACAGGAUUAGAUACCCUGGUAGUCCACGCCGGAAACGAUGGAUGCUAGCCGUUGGACAGCAUGCUGUUCAGUGGCGCAGCUAACGCAUUAAGCAUCCCGCCUGGGGAGUACGGCCGCAAGGUUAAAACUCAAAUGAAUUGACGGGG
rnacentral:rRNA from 1 species